UUAAGAACAAAUAGGUAUCAUACUAGCAACUGUGUUUGCGAUUUUAUUCACCUAACAUAAUUAUACAUUUCUGCUGUAUGUGUAGUAAAGGUCAAUUUAUUGUCUCCUUUUUCAUAUAACAUACAUUUAUUUUGGAAAUUCUAUCCUCUCUCUACAGCGUGCGUAAUCUUCAUUUAAUCUAACAAGGUGCCUGUACCACGUUACUUUUUCGGCUAUGUGUUACUCCUAUAAAUAUGAGGUCGAUUUACAUCGUAAGCGGGGUAGCUUACGUCUAAUUAUUUGGACUAGGCUAUGUGUGGGACAAUCGGAUGUCAACAAACCAUCGCUUCAGAAUGCCGUUUGUUUGGGAACAGUGUGGUAGAGAGGUCAAAACACAGUCGGGAAUCUCCAAACACAAAGCCAUCCACGCACGGGAAGGAAAAUAUUUCUGUUGCGGCAAACCUUUUCUUGGAGAUUAAAGUAUUUUUGGAAGCACCUUCAAGAGACGUACUGAUAUCUUGAUCAAUGAAAAGUUGUCAUAUAUAGUAUAUGUUCAAAAGACUGUUUGUUUUGUUACCAGAUGGUGCAAGUAUUGCAGUGAAAGAAAACAAUCAAAGUAAACAUUAAAUACACAUUUGACAAUUCAAAAAAUUGAACAGCAUGUAUUGUUUAUUACUUGGUGCGUUGGUAACAAGAUCUUGCAGCCCCUUUCAUGACCGGGUCGAAUGAGUAUUUUCAUUAAACAUCUUACACUAUUUUCAGUUAUUCAUAUUUCAUUUGAAAUUGAGUUAAUGAAGUAUUAAUACAAUUAAAUAUAUUUGUUGGUAUAAUAAACCCCCAAAGCCAAGACUUUUUUUGCGAUGAUCAUGUGUUACGUGUUAAUUAGAUCAUUUAUAUGUUUGUAUAGCAAGAUUUGUUACUUUGCGAAUACUGAUGUACUUCUUUGUGUACUUGGUGCUUUAAUUUCUAUUUUAACAUGUGUAUGCUGGUUAUAAAGCAAUGUUAUUAUUAA